rnacentral:rRNA from 1 species
CUAAAUACUCCCUAGUGACCGAUAGUGAACCAGUACCGUGAGGGAAAGGUGAAAAGCACCCCGGGAGGGGAGUGAAAUAGAACCUGAAACCGUGUGCCUACAACAAGUUCGAGCCCGUUAAUGGGUGAGAGCGUGCCUUUUGUAGAAUGAACCGGCGAGUUACGUUAUGAUGCGAGGUUAAGUUGAAGAGACGGAGCCGUAGGGAAACCGAGUCUGAAUAGGGCGCCUUAGUAUCAUGACGUAGACCCGAAACCAUGUGACCUACCCAUGAGCAGGUUGAAGGUGCGGUAAGACGCACUGGAGGACCGAACCAGGGCACGUUGAAAAGUGCUUGGAUGACUUGUGGGUAGCGGAGAAAUUCCAAACGAACUUGGAGAUAGCUGGUUCUCUCCGAAAUAGCUUUAGGGCUAGCGUCGACAUUAGAGAUUCUUGGAGGUAGAGCACUGUUUGGGUGAGGGGUCCAUCCCGGAUUACCAAUCUCAGAUAAACUCCGAAUGCCAAUGAAUUAUGGUCGGCAGUCAGACUGCGAGUGCUAAGAUCCGUAGUCGAAAGGGAAACAGCCCAGACCACCAGCUAAGGUCCCAAAAUAAUUGUUAAGUGGAAAAGGAUGUGGGGUUGCACAGACAACUAGGAUGUUAGCUUAGAAGCAGCUAUUCAUUCAAAGAGUGCGUAAUAGCUCACUAGUCGAGUGACCCUGCGCCGAAAAUGUACCGGGGCUAAAACAAUUUACCGAAGCUGUGGAUACCUUUAUAGGUAUGGUAGGAGAGCGUUCUAUGUGUGAUGAAGGUAUACCGUGAGGAGUGCUGGAACGCAUAGAAGUGAGAAUGCCGGUAUGAGUAGCGAAAGACAGGUGAGAAUCCUGUCCACCGUAAGACUAAGGUUUCCAGGGGAAGGCUCGUCCGCCCUGGGUUAGUCGGGACCUAAGGAGAGACCGAAAGGUGUAUCCGAUGGACAACAGGUUGAUAUUCCUGUACUAGAGUAUGUAGUGAUGGAGGGACGCAGUAGGCUAACUAAAGCAGACGAUUGGAAGAGUCUGUCUAAGCAGUGAGGUGUGAAUUGAGUCAAAUGCUUAAUUCUAUAACAUUGAGCUGUGAUGGGGAGCGAAGUUUAGUAGCGAAGUUAGUGACGUCACACUGCCAAGAAAAGCUUCUAGCGUUUAAACAUACUCUACCCGUACCGCAAACCGACACAGGUAGUCGAGGCGAGUAGCCUCAGGUGAGCGAGAGAACUCUCGUUAAGGAACUCGGCAAAAUGACCCCGUAACUUCGGGAGAAGGGGUGCUGACUUUAAGUCAGCCGCAGUGAAUAGGCCCAAGCAACUGUUUAUCAAAAACACAGCUCUCUGCUAAAUCGUAAGAUGAUGUAUAGGGGGUGACGCCUGCCCGGUGCUGGAAGGUUAAGAGGAGUGCUUAGCGUAAGCGAAGGUAUGAAUUGAAGCCCCAGUAAACGGCGGCCGUAACUAUAACGGUCCUAAGGUAGCGAAAUUCCUUGUCGGGUAAGUUCCGACCCGCACGAAAGGCGUAAUGAUUUGGGCACUGUCUCAACGAGAGACUCGGUGAAAUUUUAGUACCUGUGAAGAUGCAGGUUACCCGCGACAGGACGGAAAGACCCCAUGGAGCUUUACUGCAGUUUGAUAUUGAGUGUCUGUACCACAUGUACAGGAUAGGUAGGAGUCUAAGAGAUCGGGACGCCAGUUUCGAAGGAGACGCUGUUGGGAUACUACCCUUGUGUUAUGGCCACUCUAACCCAGAUAGGUGAUCCCUAUCGGAGACAGUGUCUGACGGGCAGUUUGACUGGGGCGGUCGCCUCCUAAAAGGUAACGGAGGCGCCCAAAGGUUCCCUCAGAAUGGUUGGAAAUCAUUCGCAGAGUGUAAAGGUAUAAGGGAGCUUGACUGCGAGAGCUACAACUCGAGCAGGGACGAAAGUCGGGCUUAGUGAUCCGGUGGUUCCGUAUGGAAGGGCCAUCGCUCAACGGAUAAAAGCUACCCUGGGGAUAACAGGCUUAUCUCCCCCAAGAGUUCACAUCGACGGGGAGGUUUGGCACCUCGAUGUCGGCUCGUCGCAUCCUGGGGCUGUAGUCGGUCCCAAGGGUUGGGCUGUUCGCCCAUUAAAGCGGCACGCGAGCUGGGUUCAGAACGUCGUGAGACAGUUCGGUCCCUAUCCGUCGCGGGCG